AGUGAAUAGAUACCCAGGUAGUCCACGCCGUAAACGAUGAGCACUAGGUGUCGGGGUCGCAAAGACUUCGGUGCCGUAGUUAAACGCAUUAAGUGCUCCGCCUGGGGAGUACGUUCGCAAGAAUGAAACUCAAAGGAAUUGACGGGGACCCGCACAAGCAGCGGAGCAUGUGGUUUAAUUCGAAGCAACGCGAAGAACCUUACCAGGACUUGACAUCCUUCUGACAGGACCUUAACCGGUCCCUCCUUCGGGCAGAAGAGACAGGUGGUGCAUGGUUGUCGUCAGCUCGUGUCGUGAGAUGUUGGGUUAAGUCCCGCAACGAGCGCAACCCUUGUCAUUAGUUGCCAUCAUUUGGUUGGGCACUCUAGUGAGACUGCCGGGGAUAACUCGGAGGAAGGUGGGGAUGACGUCAAAUCAUCAUGCCCCUUAUGUUCUGGGCUACACACGUGCUACAAUGGCUGGUACAAAGAGACGCAAGACCGCGAGGUGGAGCAAAUCUUCAAACCAGUCCCAGUUCGGAUUGCAGG
rnacentral:rRNA from 1 species